rnacentral:rRNA from 1 species
GAUGAACGCUGGCGGCGUGCCUAAUACAUGCAAGUCGAGCGAACGGACGAGAAGCUUGCUUCUCUGAUGUUAGCGGCGGACGGGUGAGUAACAUGUGGAUAACCUACCUAUAAGACUGGGAUAACUUCGGGAAACCGUAGCUAAUACCGGAUAAUAUUUUGAACCGCAUGGUUCAAAAGUGAAAGACGGUCUUGCUGUCACUUAUAGAUGGAUCCGCGCUGCAUUAGCUAGUUGGUAAGGUAACGGCUUACCAAGGCAACGAUGCAUAGCCGACCUGAGAGGGUGAUCGGCCACACUGGAACUGAGACACGGUCCAGACUCCUACGGGAGGCAGCAGUAGGGAAUCUUCCGCAAUGGGCGAAAGCCUGACGGAGCAACGCCGCGUGAGUGAUGAAGGUCUUCGGAUCGUAAAACUCUGUUAUUAGGGAAGAACAUAUGUGUAAGUAACUGUGCACAUCUUGAUGGUACCUAAUCAGAAAGCCACGGCUAACUACGUG